rnacentral:rRNA from 1 species
AACGAACGCUGGCGGCGUGCCUAAUACAUGCAAGUCGAGCGCAGGAAGCCGUCUGAACCCUUCGGGGGGACGACGGUGGAAUGAGCGGCGGACGGGUGAGUAACACGUAAAGAACCUGCCCAUAGGUCUGGGAUAACCACGAGAAAUCGGGGCUAAUACCGGAUGUGUCAUCGGACCGCAUGGUCCGCUGAUGAAAGGCGCUUCGGCGUCGCCCAUGGAUGGCUUUGCGGUGCAUUAGCUAGUUGGUGGGGUAACGGCCUACCAAGGCGACGAUGCAUAGCCGACCUGAGAAGGUGAUCGGCCACAGUGGGACUGACACCCGGCCCAGACUCCUACGGGAGGCAGCAGUAGGGAAUCUUCCACAAUGGACGAAAGUCUGAUGGAGCAACGCCGCGUGAACGAUGAAGGCUUUCGGGUCGUAAAGUUCUGUUGUAAGGGAAGAACAAGUGCCGCAGGCAAUGGCGGCACCUUGACGGUACCUUGCGAGAAAGCCACGGCUAACUACGUGCCAGCAGCCGCAGUAACAC